CGCUGGCGGCGUGCCUAAUACAUGCAAGUCGAACGAACUGUGGAAAGCUUGCUUUCAGAGUUAGUGGCGAACGGGUGAGUAACACGUAAGUAACCUAGCUAUUAGACGAGGAUAACUACUGGAAACGGUAGCUAAGACUGGAUAUGAUAGAAAUAUUUAAAGGAUGCUAAGGCAUCGCUAAUAGAGGGGCUUGCGGCGCAUUAGCUAGUUGGUAGGGUAAAAGCCAACCAAGGCGAUGAUGCGUAGCCGACCUGAGAGGGUGACCGGCCACACUGGGACUGAGACACGGCCCAGACUCCUACGGGAGGCAGCAGUAGGGAAUCUUCGGCAAUGGACGGAAGUCUGACCGAGCAACGCCGCGUGAAGUGAAGAAAGUUUUCGGAUUGUAAAGCUCUGUUAUUAGGGAAGAAAGGCUCUAGGAGGAAAUGCUUAGGGAUUGACGGUACCUAAUGAGGAAGCCACGGCUAACUACGUGCCAGCAGCAGC
rnacentral:rRNA from 1 species